CUGCUUUUUAAUAUGCUAUCUAGGUUGGUCAUAACUUUUCUUCCAAGGAGCUAGCGUCUUCUAAUUUCAUGGCUGCAGUCACCAUCUGUGGUGAUUUUGGAGCCCAAACAAUGAAGUCUGACACUGUUUCCACUGUUUCCCCAUCUAUUUCCCAUGAAGUGAUGGGACCAGAUGCCAUGAUCUUCGUUUUCUGAAUGUUGAGCUUUAAGCCAACUUUUUCACUCUCCACUUUCACUUUCAUCAAGAGACUUUUUAGUUCCUCUUCACUUUCUGCCAUAAGGGUGGUGUCAUCUGCAUAUCUGAGGUUAUUGGUAUUUCCCCCGGCAAUCUUGAUUCCAGCUUGUGCUUCUUCCAGCCCAGCAUUUCUCAUGAUGUACUCUGCAUAUAAGUUAAAUAAGCCGAGUGACAAUAUACAGUCUUGAAGUACUCCUUUUCCUAUUUGGAACCAGUUUGUUGUUCCAUGUCCAGUUCUAACUGUUGCUUCCUGACCUGCAUAGAGGUUUCUCAAGAGGCAGGUCAGGUGGUCUGGUAUUCCCAUCUCUUUCAGAGUUUUCCACAGUUUAUUGUGAUCCAUACAAUCAAAAGCUUUGGCAUAGUCAAUAAAGCAGAAAUAGAUGUUUUUCUGGAACUUUCUUUUAGUGAUAGUCUUUUUCAUAUGUUAUUGUUAGUGAGAACUAGGUAAGCAUUGAAAACCUUUGACAUAUAGGGAUUUUAGUUUUACUUCUAAACAUGAGUAUCUCCAUAUAGUGAUUUACAAUGUGAAAAUCCUCAACUCACUCUCUAUCUGCAGAUACAGAGAAGGGUUUAAAGUUCUAUGUCCCUUUGCUUCUUGGAGGAGACUCAUGUUGAGACAAAACUGAAAAUCUGGAAGGAAGUAGUUGUAUAAAAUAUAGGUUCUGGGAAAGGCGGUGAGGUAUGUUAGGGCCAAGAGUGGUUCUUUUCUGGAAUGGAAUGUACAAAAUGGGCUUAGAGCAGGCAGCCCAGAUAUAGCUGAUCAAGAACCUUUAAGUUCUGUGAUACAAGAUGCCUUUAUACCAAGGGACUUAGAAAUCUAAGAACUUGACCACAUUGCAUAGAAUGAGACUUAAAUAAUAGAAAACAGAAAAGAAGUUAGAGAAAGGAGAUAAGGGUGAUCUUGCUACAGAAUUUAACUGUGGAGUUCAAGAAGCAUGAAAAUAGUGUUGCCCAGAAGAAGCAAAUGUAGGUUGAUGAUUUUCUUCUGAAAUUUGGUGCAUCUCACAGUAUAGUUGGAAAAAAACUGUAAUUUGGUGAUCAUAUAGCAUAGCUGAAAAGCAAUUUUGAAUCAAAG
ensembl:lncRNA